CCUACGGGCGGCAGCAGUGAGGAAUAUUGGUCAAUGGACUAGAGUCUGAACCAGCCAAGUAGCGUGAAGGAUGACUGCCCUAUGGGUUGUAAACUUCUUUUAUAUGGGAAUAAAACGUUCCACGUGUGGGAUUUUGUAUGUACCAUAUGAAUAAGGAUCGGCUAACUCCGUGCCAGCAGCCGCGGUAAUACGGAGGAUCCGAGCGUUAUCCGGAUUUAUUGGGUUUAAAGGGAGCGUAGGUGGAUUGUUAAGUCAGUUGUGAAAGUUUGCGGCUCAACCGUAAAAUUGCAGUUGAAACUGGCAGUCUUGAGUACAGUAGAGGUGGGCGGAAUUCGUGGUGUAGCGGUGAAAUGCUUAGAUAUCACGAAGAACUCCGAUUGCGAAGGCAGUUCACUGGACUGCAACUGACACUGAGGCUCGAAAGUGUGGGUAUCAAACAGGAUUAGAUACCCUUGUAGUC
rnacentral:rRNA from 1 species